GAUGAACGCUAGCGGCAGGCCUAAUACAUGCAAGUCGAACGGUAACAGGGAGCUUGCUCCGCUGACGAGUGGCGAACGGGUGAGUAAUGCAUCGGAACGUACCGUGUAAUGGGGGAUAACGUAGCGAAAGUUACGCUAAUACCGCAUACGCCCUGAGGGGGAAAGUGGGGGACCGCAAGGCCUCACGUUAUACGAGCGGCCGAUGUCGGAUUAGCUAGUUGGUGGGGUAAAGGCCUACCAAGGCGACGAUCCGUAGCGGGUCUGAGAGGAUGAUCCGCCACACUGGGACUGAGACACGGCCCAGACUCCUACGGGAGGCAGCAGUGGGGAAUUUUGGACAAUGGGCGCAAGCCUGAUCCAGCCAUGCCGCGUGAGUGAAGAAGGCCUCGGUGUAAGACGUCUUCAGUGGAAGAAAUACGCACUUUUAAUACUAAGGUAGUGG
rnacentral:rRNA from 1 species